UACGUAGGGGGCAAGCGUUGUCCGGAUUUAUUGGGCGUAAAGAGCGUGUAGGCGGCCAUACAGGUCCGUUGUGAAAACUCGAGGCUCAACCUCGAGACGUCGGUUGAAACCAUCUGGCUAGAGUCCGGAAGAGGAGAGUGGAAUUCCCGGUGUAGCGGUGAAAUGCGCAGAUAUCGGGAAGAACACCCGUGGCGAAGGCGGCUCUCUGGGACGGUACUGACGCUGAGACGCGAAAGCGUGGGGAGCGAACAGG
rnacentral:rRNA from 1 species